UUAUAAAGAAGUAUCUAAGUACAUAGGGUUUUGAUCCCUAAAGAGAAAGUUAAAGCUUUUCUUUGUAAU
rnacentral:tRNA from 1 species